CAGAUAUCUCAGCUCUCACAUCAAUGAAGAACGUAGUGAAAUGCGAUACUUGGUGUGAAUUACAGAAUCCCGUGAACCAUUGAGUCUUUGAACGCAAGUUGCACCCUAACCCAUUAGGUCGACGGCACGCCUGCCUGGGUGUCAUGCACCAUCGCCCCCCUCUGACCCCCCUCCCCCCGUCGGGCUCUGGGGGAAGGGGGCGGGCACUAUGAGGCACUGUCCGCGAGUUGGGUUGUCUGGGAAUGCAGCCCUAAUCGGGCGGUAAAUUCUGUCCAAGGCUGAAUACGGGCGAGAGAUCGAUAGCGAACAAGUACCGUAAGGGAAAAAUGAAAAAGACUUUGAAAAGAGUGUCAAAGAGUGCUUGAAAUUGUCGGGAGGGAAGCUGAUUGGGGCCAGCGAUGGCCCUAGUCAGAUGUGGAACAGCGAGAGCUGAUCCGUCGAUCGACUCGAGGCGUGGACCGACGCGGGUCAUACUGGCGGCCCAAGCUCGGGCUUUUAAUGUGCCCACGGAGAUGUCGUCGCCAUGAUCGUGGAAUGCAGCACGCAACAUCUCAACGUGCCUCGGCACCAGCAUGCUCCAGGCAUCGACUUGUAGGCUCUCCAUCCAGCCCGUCUUGAAACACGGACCAAGGAGUUUGACAUGCAUGCGAGUCAACGGGCUAGGAAACCGGUAAGGCACAAGGAAACUGAUUGGCAGGAUCCCUCACGGGUGCACUACCAACUGACCUUGAUCUUCUGAGAAGGGUUUGAGUGCGAGCAUGCCCGUUGAGACCCGAAAGAUGGUGAACUAUGCCCGAGCAGGGUGAAGCCAGAGGAAACUCUGGUGAAGGCCCGCAGUGAUACUGACUUGCAAAUUGUUCGUCUAACUUGGGUAUAGGGGUGAAAGAUUAAUCAAACCAUCUAGUAGCUGGUUCCCUCCGAAGUUUCCCUCAAGAUAGCUAGAGCCCCCCUAGAGUUCUAUCGGGUAAAGCUAAUGAUUAGAGGCAUCGGGGGUGCAACGCCCUUGAUCUAUUCUCAAACUUUAAAUAGGUAGGACAGCACGACUGCUUCAUUGAGCCGCACCACGAAAUCGAGAGCUCCAAGUGGGCCAUUUUUGGUAAACAGAAUUGGCGAUGCGGGAUGAACCGAAAGUCGGGUUACGGUGCCCAACUGCGCACUAACCUAGAACCCACAAAGGGUGUUGGUCGAAUAAGACAGCAGGAUGGUGGUCAUGGAAGUCAAAAUUCACUAAAGAGUGUGUAACAACUCACCCGUCGAAUCAACUUGCCCAGAAAAUGGAUGGCGCUUAAGCGCGUGACCUAUACUCGAUCGUCGGGGUAAGGGCCAAGCCUCGAUGAGUAUGAGGGCAUGGCGGUCAUUGCAAAACCCGUGGAACAAGCCCGGGUGAAGUGACCGUCGGUUCAGAUCUUGGUGGUAGUAGCAAAUAUUCAAAUGAAAACUUUGAAGGUCGAAGAGGGGAAAGGUUCCAUGUGAACGGCACUUGCACAUGGGUUAGUCAAUCCUAAGAGACGGGAGAAGCCCAUCCGACAGCGCGUCCCGCGUGAGCUUCAAAAGGGAAUUGGGUUAAAAUUCCUGAACCGGGACACGACAGCUGAUGGCAAUGUUAGGGAGUCCGGAGACGUCGACGGGGGCAUCGAGAAGAGUUAUCUUUUCUAUUUAACGGCCCGCCCACCCUGCAUACAGCUCAGCUGGAGGUAGGGUUCAGCGGUCGAAAGAGCACCGCACGUCGCGUGGUGUCUGGUGCACCCCCGGUGGCCCUUGAAAAUCGAGAGGAUCGAGUGUUGUCUGUGCCCAGUUAUACUUGUAACCGUAUCAGGUCUCCAAGGUGAACAGCCUCUGGUUGAUGGAACAAGGUAGGCAAGGGAAGUCGGCAAAAUGGAUCCGUAACCUCGGGAAAAGGAUUGGCUUUGAAGGUUGGGCAUGGAGGUCCCAGUCCCGAACCCAUCGACUAUCGGUGCACUGCUUGAGCUACUCCCACGAUGAGAGUGGGUCACCGCAUGUCAGUCGGGGGUUGGACUAGGAACGGCUCCCUCAGGGGCCUUCCCCAAGCGAUGAACAGUCGACUCAGAACUGGUAUGAACAAGGGGAAUCCGACUGUUUAAUUAAAACAAAGCAUUGCGAUGGUCCCUACGGAUGCUCACGCAAUGUGAUUUCUGCCCAGUGCUCUAAAUGUCAAAGUGAAGAAAUUCAACCAAGCACGAGUAAACGACGGGAGUAACUAUGACUCUCUUAAGGUAGCCAAACGCCUCGUCAUCUAAUUAGUGACACGUAUGAAUGGAUUAACGAGAUUCCCACUGUCCCUGUCUAUUAUCCAGCGAAACCACAGCCAAGGGAACGGGCUUGGUGGAAUCAGCGGGGAAAAAAGACCCUGUUGUGCUUGACUCUAGUCUGACUUUUUGAAAUGACAUGAGAGGUGUAGGAUAAGUGGGAGCCCUCGAGGGAAAUUGAAAUACCAUUACUUUUAAAGUUAUUUUACUUAUUUCGUGAAUCAGAGGUGGGGCACGACCCUUCUUUUGGACCCAAGGCCAGCCUCGACCGGUCAAUCCAGGUGGAAGACAUUGUCAACUGGGGAGUUUGGCUGGGGUAGUACAUCUGUUAAAGGAUAACGCAGGUGUCUUAAGAUGAGCUCAACGAGAACAGAAAUCUCGUAUGGAAUAAAAGGGUAAAAGCUCGUUUGAUUCUGAUUUCUAGUACAAAUACGAACAGUGAAAGCCUGGCCUAUCGAUCCUUUAGACUUUCGAGAUUUGAAGCUAGAGGUGUCAAAAAGUUACCACACGGGAUAACUGGCUUCUGACAGCCAAGCGUUAAUAGCGAUGUUGCCUUUUGAUCCUUCGAUGUCGACUCUUCCUAUCAUUGUGAAGCAGAAUUCACCAAGUGUUGGAUUGUGCACCCACCAAUAGGGAACAUGAGCUGGGUUUAGACCAUCGUGAGAUAGGUUAGUUUUACCCUACUAAUGGCGGUGUCGUAAUAGCAAUUCAACCUAGUACGAAAGGAACCGUUGAUUCACAUAAUUAGUCAUCACGCUCAGUUGAAAAGCUAAUGGCGCGAAGCUACCAUGCCUGGAUUAUGACUGAACGCCUCUAAGUCAAAAUUUGGGCAAAAAGCGAUAUGCGUGCCUGCCGCCCGAUUGUCGACUCGCAGUAGGGGCCCAUAGCCCCCAAGGGCACGUGUCAUAGGUGCAGCCCCAAAUUAUGUAGACGUGAUCCUUGUACUUUUGUUGGCAUGCAUAAAAAAUUUCAGCUAAAAACUCGAAGUGGAGAAGAUUUUGUGACCAUUUGAAAAAAGUGUCCCCAUUUCAGACACUUUAAUGGCUACUGGCAGCAAACCUAUAAAAUCUUAAAUG
rnacentral:rRNA from 1 species